UGGGGAAUAUUGGACAAUGGGCGCAAGCCUGAUCCAGCCAUGCCGCGUGAGUGAUGGAGGCCCUAGGGUUGUAAAGCUCUUUCACCGGUGAAGAUAAUGACGGUAACCGGAGAAGAAGCCCCGGCUAACUUCGUGCCAGCAGCCGCGGUAAUACGAAGGGGGCUAGCGUUGUUCGGAUUUACUGGGCGUAAAGCGCACGUAGGCGGACUUUUAAGUCAGGGGUGAAAUCCCGGGGCUCAACCCCGGAACUGCCUUUGAUACUGGAAGUCUUGAGUAUGGUAGAGGUGAGUGGAAUUCCGAGUGUAGAGGUGAAAUUCGUAGAUAUUCGGAGGAACACCAGUGGCGAAGGCGGCUCACUGGACCAUUACUGACGCUGAGGUGCGAAAGCGUGGGGAGCAAACA
rnacentral:rRNA from 1 species